rnacentral:lncRNA from 1 species
AUGCCAAAGCCUUUGACUGUGAAUCACAAAAAACUGUGGAAAAUUCUGAAAGACAUGGGAAUACCAAACCACCUGACCUGCCUCUUGAGAAAUCUGUAUGCAGGUCAGGAAGCAACAGUUAGAACUGGACAUGGAACAACAGACUGGUUCCAAAUAGGAAAAGGAGUACAUCAAGGCUGUAUAUUGUCACCCUGCUUAUUUAACUCAUAUGCAGAGUAUAUCAUGAGAAACGCUGGGCUGGAAGAAGCACAAGCUGGAAUCAAGAUUGCCGGGAGAAAUAUCAAUAACCUCAGAUAUGCAGAUGACACCAUGCUUAAGGCAGAAAGUGAAGAGGAACUAAAAAGGCUCUUGAUGAAAGUGAAAGAGGAGAGUGAAAAAGUUGGCUUAAAGCUCAACAUUCAGAAAACGAAGAUCAUGGCAUCCAGUCCCAUCACUUCAUGGAAAAUAGAUGGGGAAACAGUGGAAACAGUGUCAGACUUUAUUUUUGGGGGUUCCAAAAUCACUGCAGUUGGUGACUGCAGCCAUGAAAUUAAAAGACGCUUACUCCUUGGAAGAAAAGUUAUGACCAACAUAGAUAGCAUAUUCAAAAGAAGAGAUAUUACUUUGCCGACUAAGGUCUGUCUAGUCAAGGCUAUGGUUUUUCCUGUGGUUAUGUAUGGAUGUGAGAAUUGGACUGUGAAGCAGGCUGAGCACCGAAGAAUUGAUGCUUUUGAACUGUGGUAUUGGAGAAGACCCUUGAGAGUCCCUUGGACUGCAAGGAGAUCCAACCAGUCCAUUCUGAAGGAGAUCAGCCCUGGGAUUUCUUUGGAAGGAAUGAUGCUAAAGCUGAAGCUACAGUACUUUGGCCACCUCAUGAGAAGAGGUGACACAUUGGAAAAGACUCUGAUGCUGGGAGGGAUUGGGGGCAGGAGGAGAAGGGGACGACCAAGGAUGAGAUGGCUGGAUGGCAUCACGGACUCGAUGGAUGUGAGUCUGAGUGAAGUCCGGGAGUUGGUGAUGGACAGGGAGGCCUGGCGUGCUGCGAUUCAUGGAGUCACAAAGAGUCGGACAUGA